GGCCAGCAUGGCGUAGUGGUUUGAGCAUUGGAUUACAACUCCGGAGACCAGGGUUUGAAUCACUGCUCGGCCA